GAUGAACGCUGGCGGCGUGCCUAAUACAUGCAAGUCGAGCGAACAGAUGAGGAGCUUGCUCCUCUGACGUUAGCGGCGGACGGGUGAGUAACACGUGGAUAACCUACCUAUAAGACUGGGAUAACUUCGGGAAACCGGAGCUAAUACCGGAUAAUAUAUUGAACCGCAUGGUUCAAUAGUGAAAGACGGUUUUGCUGUCACUUAUAGAUGGAUCCGCGUCGCAUUAGCUAGUUGGUAAGGUAACGGCUUACCAAGGCAACGAUGCGUAGCCGACCUGAGAGGGUGAUCGGCCACACUGGAACUGAGACACGGUCCAGACUCCUACGGGAGGCGGCAGUAGGGAAUCUUCCGCAAUGGGCGAAAGCCUGACGGAGCAACGCCGCGUGAGUGAUGAAGGUCUUCGGAUCGUAAAACUCUGUUAUUAGGGAAGAACAAAUGUGUAAGUAACUAUGCACGUCUUGACGGUACCUAAUCAGAAAGCCACGGCUAACUACGUG
rnacentral:rRNA from 1 species